UACGGAGGGUGCGAGCGUUGUCCGGAAUCACUGGGCGUAAAGGGCGCGUAGGUGGCCUGUGGAAGUCUGCGGUGAAAGCCCGGCGCUCAACGCCGGGUCGGCCGUGGAUACUCUCGGGCUCGAGCUUACUAGAGGCAGAUGGAAUUCCGGGUGUAGCGGUGGAAUGCGUAGAGAUCCGGAAGAACACCGGUGGCGAAGGCGGUCUGCUGGGGUAAUGCUGACACUGAUGCGCGACAGCGUGGG
rnacentral:rRNA from 1 species